UGUAGCGUGCGUGUGAAAUGGGGGGAGGACCAUGCCAGUUGGUAACUCAGAGUGCAAUGUAGUUAGUGGAAGAGGUUUCUCCAACAGCCGGAAACCCGCACCUUCACUACUCCACUGACCUCACCCUGGCCACACCGACAGCCUUCUAGAUGUCAAAUCUAACAGGGGGAGUUUCCUGUCAUUUUCUCUAACCUCUGAAGCAUUUGACGCUACCCAUUUCUUUAUACUUGACACCCCCAUUCUGGCUUCUCCUCCUGCACCUCUGCCUCUCUCUUCUCAUCUGUUCACCUCCACCCCUAAAUGUUGGUGAUCUCCAGGGCCCUUUCCUCACCCCUUUUUCACUUCACCCACUGUUCCUGGGAGAAUGUUUAAAUGUAAGCCUUCAACUGCUUCGAGUUGGAGCUCCUCAGAGCUGUUUUGGCCCACAAAUCUGGCAUUACACUUUCUCUGGGUGAGUUCAUCCACACUCAUUGUUUUAAUUACUACCUGUAAAUUGAUGACACCCAAAUUUAUAUCUCCAGCCCAGAUGUCUUGCAAGCUUAAAUAACAAUAAAUAAUAUACAUGCACAUACAUAUUCAAACACCUGUUGGAUAUCACCUGGUGUCCCAGAGACACCUCAAACUCCAAAAGCCAAAAGAUGUCCUGAGGCAACAAGAAAUCCUUGCCUGGAGAGAGGCUGAGAGGUCAAGGCAGAAGAAGUCAGCGUGGGCGUCAGGUGUGCGCAGAUAAUCAGCUGCACAAGAGUGAGAUACGUGAGGGGUGGAAUAACGAUAGUGUAUGAAGACAGGAGGACUCUGGCUGAUAAGAGAUUGGAAAGAAUUGACUGUGAUCUGCUUGCCAAAAGCACUAACAUGACUUUGGGAUGCACUAAGAGAGCUUUAGUACCCAGAACAAUGGGGCUCAUAGGCCCCAGACUCUGUGAGAGUCAAACCCUGUGAGGAGUGUGUGGCCCAUUUUGAGAGGGACAGAGACAAACUGUAGAGUCCAGAGGUAGAAAUCAGGAUGGUGAGAAGAGCCCAUGACCACAGGGAAGACAUGAAGAUACUGAACUGGGAGAGAAGAUUCAAGGGGCAGAUGAUAAUGGUCUUUCAACUCCUGGAAUAGAAACCGAAUUGAUUCUGCAUAUCUUGAGAGCAAAGACCAAAGACCAGAGAGUGGAUGUAGAUCCUUUAUGAGGAAGGACUUUCUAAUAAUUAAAGCUAAUUAUUCUACCAAA
ensembl:lncRNA novel transcript, antisense to RABGGTA